rnacentral:misc_RNA from 1 species
ACACCCUCAAGCUCUGCUUGGUGUUGGGCGUCUGUCCCGCUUCCCGCGUGGACUCGCCCCAAAGCGAUUGGCGGCCGGCACCGUAGCCCGGAGUGCAGCAGAAUUGCGCUCCUCGCCCGCGUGCCUCCCCCCAGAAGCGAACCUUUUAUUU